rnacentral:rRNA from 1 species
CACAAGCGGUGGAGCAUGUGGUUUAAUUCGAUGCAACGCGAAGAACCUUACCUAGGUUUGACAUCCCGGGGAGUCUCUUGAAAGAGAGAUGUGCCCUUCGGGGAGCCCGGAGACAGGUGCUGCAUGGCUGUCGUCAGCUCGUGUCGUGAGAUGUUGGGUUAAGUCCCGCAACGAGCGCAACCCUUAUCUUUAGUUACCAGCACUUCGGGUGGGGACUCUAGAGAUACUGCCCCGGUCAACGGGGAGGAAGGUGGGGAUGACGUCAAGUCCUCAUGGCCUUUAUGCCUAGGGCUACACACGUGCUACAAUGGGCGGUACAAAGGGUCGCGAUCCCGCGAGGGGGAGCCAAUCCCAAAAAGCCGUCCCAAGUUCGGAUUGGAGUCUGCAACUCGACUCCAUGAAGCUGGAAUCGCUAGUAAUCGCGGAUCAGCAUGCCGCGGUGAAUACGUUCUCGGGGUUU